GUCAGAGGUUCGAAGGCGAUCAGAUACCGCCCUAGUUCUAACUAUAAACUAUGCCAACCAGCAAUCAGCUGGGGUCGUUUACCGAUUCCAUGCUGGACGCUUGCCCGGGAAACCAGAGUUUCUGGGUUCCGGGGGGAGUAUGGUUGCAAAGCUGAAACUUAAAGGAAUUGACGGAAGGGCACCACCAGGAGUGGAGCCUGCGGCUUAAUUUGACUCAACACGGGGAAGCUUACCCGGUCCGGACACUUUGACGAUUGACAGAUUGAGAGCUCUUUCUUGAUAAAGUGGUUGGUGGUGCAUGGCCGUUCUUAGUUCGUGGAGUGAUUUGUCUGGUUAAUUCCGAUAACGAACGAGACUCUAGCUUACUAAAUAGUCCGUGCGGCUGCGGCCGACACGGUGUUACUUCUUAGAAGGAUUUAUGGCGGUUCAGUCAUAAGAAAGAGAGCAAUAACAGGUCUGUGAUGCCCUUAGAUGUCCGGGGCCGCACGCGCGCUACACUGGAGCCCACAGUGAGCGUGCUACUUGCGUCGAAAGGCGUGAGGAAUCUCGUAAGCUUCUCCGUAUCUGGGAUUGCGGCAUG
rnacentral:rRNA from 1 species